UUCUUUUAUUUAUUCGUUUUCUUCUCAAAUCUCUUUGGCUUUUUGGGUUGUGGUUUGUUGCGGUUCUCUAUUUUGGGUGGUGAUCGUGUUUAAUUCGUUUGUUAUUCCGUUUGUGUAAGUAACGUUUCCUUUCUUUUCGUUUUCUACGCUUUUGUCGAAGGUUGUCGGUUGGUGAUGGGGGUUUGAAGUAAUAAGAAUGUACUGUUAACUUUUGGGUCGUGUGUUAAUUAAGUUAAAUCUAAUGCGUUACAGGAGAAGAUUGAGAAUCAUUGGGUUUUCCUCCGGCUACUUGAUUCGUGUAUGUGGCUGCUGUUCAUUUUGUGGUAAAGUGUUAUUACGUUUUUGAAUUUUAAGUGGUUCGUUUGAUAUUAUUUUUUUGAAGUAAUUGAGGGUGUGUAUUUUAAUUCACUCGUGUACAUCGUUGAUUUGGGUUUUAAUGGAUGUGUUUAGGUUUGGAAAGUCUCGCAGGUGGUUUCGCAUUAGAAUUAGUCAAGGUAUGUAACGGGAAACCCGAAAAAUAGCGAAUAGUGAAAGCCGAAAUUGGGCACUAUCGAUGUCACACAGUCGUGUGCGACUCACGACUGUGUAACAGACCAUGUGUUAGGUCGUGUGUGACACACGGCCUGGCUAUUUUGGGCCGUGUGGGCCACACGGGCGUGUGGGCUCAAAAUUCAUGAUUUUUUCCCGAAGGCUGUACACAUUGUCUAGAUCGACUGUGACCUUUUGUAGGGUCAGUAUGAGACUAAAUAAAUUAUUAAGCAUGAAAUCUAGAUAUUUGUUGGUAUAAAAUCUGCUAUUCGUAAGAGUAAUGGAAACGUCAAAUGAAUAAGAAAUCUAAAUAUGUAUGAUAUUUUUUGUACUCUAUAUCUGCAUUUGGGUUGGGUUGUAUGUAUUAUGUGGAGGAAGUGUUUUGUGAUAGGUGAUUUCUCGCCCAUUAUUCUGGCAGCACAACUGCAAUUAUUUUGAAAAGUGUCAUACCGACACUAAGUGGUGUGUAGGGCUAAAUGAGUCUUAAAGACCCUAUAUGGUGUGCAGGGAUGGUUGGAGAUGGUGUGUAGCGAUGGCGGUAGAAUUGUAAAUUUGGAUAUGAUUCUUAUUCUGUAAGAUAUAUUCAUCUGUAUUUGCUCUGCUAUAUAAUAAAUCUGAAAUUAAACCUGUGGUUCUGUUCUCUUUUAAGUUACACACUGAGUUAUGAAAACUUACUUUCUGUUUGUCCGUCACUUUCAGGUAACCCUCAAACUUAGGUGGGUCGGUUCAACGGGAGCUCGGUUAUAUCCACAUUUUUG
rnacentral:lncRNA from 1 species